rnacentral:rRNA from 1 species
CACGUAGGGGGCAAGCGUUGUCCGGAAUCAUUGGGCGUAAAGAGCGUGUAGGCGGCCAGACAGGUCCGUUGUGAAAACUCGAGGCUCAACCUCGAGACGCCGAUGGAAACCGUCUGGCUAGAGUCCGGAAGAGGAGAGUGGAAUUCCUGGUGUAGCGGUGAAAUGCGCAGAUAUCAGGAAGAACACCCGUGGCUAAGGCGGCUCUCUAGUACGGUACUGACGCUGAGACGCGAAAGCGUGGGGAGCGAACAGG